rnacentral:rRNA from 1 species
CAAUAGCGUAUAUUAAAGUUGUUGCAGUUAGAACGCUCGUAGUCGGAUUUCGGGGCAGUCCGACCGGUCUGCCGAUGGGUAUGCACUGGCCGGAGUGUCCUUUUUGCCGGAGACCGUGCCUACUCUUAACUGAGCGGGGGCGGGAGACGGCACUUUUACUUUGAAAAAAUCAGAGUGUUUCAAGCAGGCAGCUCGCUCUUGCAUGGAUUAGCAUGGGAUAAUGAAAUAGGACUUUGGUGCUAUUUUGUUGGUUUCGAACACCGAAGUAAUGAUGAGAAGGGACAGUCAGGGGCACUCGUAUUCCGCAGAGAGAGGUGAAAUUCUCAGACCCGCGGAAGACGAACCACUGCGAAAGCAUUUGCCAGGGAUGUUUNCACUGA